GAAGGUGUGCUGUGAGGCAUGCUGGAGGUAUCAGAAGUGCGAAUGCUGACAUAAGUAACGAUAAAGCGGGUGAAAAGCCCGCUCGCCGGAAGACCAAGGGUUCCUGUCCAACGUUAAUCGGGGCAGGGUGAGUCGACCCCUAAGGCGAGGCCGAAAGGCGUAGUCGAUGGGAAACAGGUUAAUAUUCCUGUACUUGGUGUUACUGCGAAGGGGGGACGGAGAAGGCUAUGUUGGCCGGGCGACGGUUGUCCCGGUUUAAGCGUGUAGGCUGGUUUUCCAGGCAAAUCCGGAAAAUCAAGGCUGAGGCGUGAUGACGAGGCACUACGGUGCUGAAGCAACAAAUGCCCUGCUUCCAGGAAAAGCCUCUAAGCAUCAGGUAACAUCAAAUCGUACCCCAAACCGACACAGGUGGUCAGGUAGAGAAUACCAAGGCGCUUGAGAGAACUCGGGUGAAGGAACUAGGCAAAAUGGUGCCGUAACUUCGGGAGAAGGCACGCUGAUAUGUAGGUGAAGUCCCU
rnacentral:rRNA from 1 species